rnacentral:rRNA from 1 species
GAUGAACGCUAGCGGGAGGCUUAAUACAUGCAAGUCGCACGGCAGCAUUAUUGUAGUGAUAUAAUAGGUGGCGAGUGGCGCACGGGUGAGUAACGCGUACACAACCUACCCUUAAGAGGGGGAUAACUCAGAGAAAUUUGGGAUAAUACCGCAUAAGAUCUUAAGAUUGCAUGAUUUAGAGAUUAAAGUUAAGGCGCUUAAGGAUGGGUGUGCGUUAGAUUAGGUAGUUGGUAGGGUAACGGCCUACCAAGCCGACGAUCUAUAAGGGGCGUGAGAGCGUGAUCCCUCACACGGGUACUGAGACACGGACCCGACUCCUACGGGAGGCAGCAGUAAGGAAUAUUGGACAAAUGCCCGCAAGGGUGAUCCAGCCAUUCCGCGUGCA